AUUGAACGCUGGCGGCAUGCCUUACACAUGCAAGUCGAACGGCAGCACGGGGCAACCUGGUGGCGAGUGGCGAACGGGUGAGUAAUGCAUCAGAACGUACCUUUCAGUGGGGGAUAACGUAGCGAAAGUUACGCUAAUACCGCAUAUUCUGUGAGCAGGAAAGCAGGGGAUCGCAAGACCUUGCGCUGAUUGAGCGGCCGAUGUCAGAUUAGCUAGUUGGUGAGGUAAAGGCUCACCAAGGCGACGAUCUGUAGCGGGUCUGAGAGGAUGAUCCGCCACACUGGAACUGAGACACGGUCCAGACUCCUACGGGAGGCAGCAGUGGGGAAUUUUGGACAAUGGGGGCAACCCUGACCAGCCAUGCCGCGUGAGUGAAGAAGGCCUUCGGGUUGUAAAGCUCUUUCGGCCGGGAAGAAAUCGCACGGGCUAAUACCCUGUGUGGAUGACGGUACCGGAAUAAGAAGCACCGGCUAACUACGUGCCAGCCGCCGCAGUAACAC
rnacentral:rRNA from 1 species